CUCGUCUCGGAUUUUUUCCCCUAUACCUUUAUAUGUUAUAUAAAGGUAUAUAAGAGGGGAAAAAAUCUGAGACGAGAGC
rnacentral:sRNA from 1 species